UACGGGGGGGGCAAGCGUUGUUCGGAAUUACUGGGCGUAAAGGGCGCGUAGGCGGCUCGCUAAGUUGGAUGUGAAAACUCUGGGCUUAACCCAGAGCCUGCAUCCAAAACUGGCAAGCUUGAGUACUGGAGGGGAAAGCGGAAUUCCUGGUGUAGCGGUGAAAUGCGCAGAUAUCAGGAGGAACACCGGUGGCGAAGGCGCCACUCUGGGCCGGUACUGACGCUGAGGAGCGAAAGCGUGGGUAGCAAACAGG
rnacentral:rRNA from 1 species